CGCGGGGUGGAGCAGCCUGGUAGCUCGUCGGGCUCAUAACCCGAAGGUCGCAAGUCCAAAUCUUGCCCCCGCAACCA
rnacentral:tRNA from 1 species